UGAGGAAUAUUGGUCAAUGGUCGGAAGACUGAACCAGCCAUGCCGCGUGAAGGUCACGGCCCUAUGGGUCUUAAACUUCUUUUGCAAGGGAGCAAUAAGGUCUACGUGUAGACUGAUGAGAGUACCUUGCGAAUAAGCAUCGGCUAACUCCGUGCCAGCAGCCGCGGUAAUACGGGGGAUGCAAGCGUUAUCCGGAUUUAUUGGGUUUAAAGGGUGCGUAGGCGGCUUAUUAAGUCAGCGGUGAAAUUUAGGGGCUCAACCUCUACCGUGCCGUUGAUACUGGUGAGCUAGAAUGCGGAUGCCGUGGGAGGAAUGUGUGGUGUAGCGGUGAAAUGCAUAGAUAUCACACAGAACACCGAUUGCGAAGGCAUCUCACGAAUCCGCGAUUGACGCUGAGGCACGAAAGCGUGGGGAUCAAACAGG
rnacentral:rRNA from 1 species